rnacentral:rRNA from 1 species
CCUACGUGUGGCAGCAGUGAGGAAUAUUGGUCAAUGGGCGCGAGCCUGAACCAGCCAAGUAGCGUGAAGGAUGACUGCCCUACGGGUUGUAAACUUCUUUUAUAAAGGAAUAAAGUGAGGCACGUGUGCCUUUUUGUAUGUACUUUCUGAAUAAGGAUCGGCUAACUCCGUGCCAGCAGCCGCGGUAAUACGGAGGAUCCGAGCGUUAUCCGGAUUUAUUGGGUUUAAAGGGAGCGUGGAUGGUUUGUUAAUUCAGUUGGGAAAGUUUGCGGCUCAACCGUAAAAUUGCAAUUGAUACUGGCAGUCUUGAGUACAGUUGAGGUAGGCGGAAUUCGUGGUGUAGCGGUGAAAUGCUGAGAUAUCACGAAGAACUCCGAUUGCGAAGGCAGCUUACUAAACUGCCACUGACAUUGAUGCUCGAAAGUGUGGGUAUCAAACAGGAUUAGAGACCCUGGUAGUC